rnacentral:rRNA from 1 species
GACGAACGCUGGCGGCGUGCUUAACACAUGCAAGUCGAACGCUGAAGCUCAGCUUUUGUUGGGUGGAUGAGUGGCGAACGGGUGAGUAACACGUGAGUAACCUGCCCCCUUCUUUGGGAUAACGCCCGGAAACGGGUGCUAAUUCUGGAUAUUCACUGGUCUUCGCAUGGGGGUUGGUGGAAAGGGUUUUUCUGGUGGGGGAUGGGCUCGCGGCCUAUCAGCUUGUUGGUGGGGUGAUGGCCUACCAAGGCUUUGACGGGUAGCCGGCCUGAGAGGGUGACCGGUCACAUUGGGACUGAGAUACGGCCCAGACUCCUACGGGAGGCAGCAGUGGGGAAUAUUGCACAAUGGGCGCAAGCCUGAUGCAGCGACGCCGCGUGAGGGAUGGAGGCCUUCGGGUUGUGAACCUCUUUCGCUCAUGGUCAAGCCGCAACAAUGGUUGUGGUGAGGGUAGUGGGUAAAGAAGCGCCGGCUAACUACGUG